rnacentral:rRNA from 1 species
GCCAGGAAAUUACGAGCCCAAGCUUAAAACCCAAAGGACUUGACGGUGUCUCACCUACCUAGAGGAGCCUGUUCUAUAAUCGAUUCUCCCCGAUCCACCUCACCGCUUCUUGACCAUCAGCCUGUAUACCUCCGUCGCAAGCCUACCAUGUGAACGCACACAGUGGGCCUCAAGAUCCACACAUCCACACGUCAGGUCAAGGCGCAGCCUAUGAAGCGGGAAGAAAUGGGCUACAAUCUCUACCUUAGAACAAACGGAAGACUACAUGCAAUAUAGUCACCAAGGCGGAUUUAGUAGUAAAAAGAAAAUAGAGAGUUCUUUUUAAUUAUAGCCCUGAGACGCGUACACACCGCCCGUCACCCUCUUCAAUGACAAAAACCAACGUCACUAACACCUUCUAGUCCUACAGAAGAGGUAAGUCGUAACACGGUAAGCGUACUGGAAAGUGCGCUUGGAAUAACAAAAUAUAACUUAAUAAAAGUACCCUGCUUACACCAAGGACAUGUCUGUGAAAAUCUGACUAUUUUGAGCCAAAAACCUAGCCCUACUAAUCUAUACGAUAUAAUAACAAAAAAAUAUAAUAAAACAUUUUCUUAGCCAAGUAAAGGUGAUUAAAAAGUUAAUAGGAG